AUUGAACGCUGGCGGCAUGCCUUACACAUGCAAGUCGAACGGUAACGCGGGGCAACCUGGCGACGAGUGGCGAACGGGUGAGUAAUACAUCGGAACGUGCCCAGUAGUGGGGGAUAGCCCGGCGAAAGCCGGAUUAAUACCGCAUACGACCUACGGGUGAAAGCGGGGGAUCGCAAGACCUCGCGCUAUUGGAGCGGCCGAUGUCAGAUUAGGUAGUUGGUGGGGUAAAGGCCUACCAAGCCUACGAUCUGUAGCUGGUCUGAGAGGACGACCAGCCACACUGGGACUGAGACACGGCCCAGACUCCUACGGGAGGCAGCAGUGGGGAAUUUUGGACAAUGGGCGCAAGCCUGAUCCAGCCAUGCCGCGUGCGGGAAGAAGGCCUUCGGGUUGUAAACCGCUUUUGUCAGGGAAGAAAUCUUCUGGGCUAAUACCCCGGGAGGAUGACGGUACCUGAAGAAUAAGCACCGGCUAACUACGUGCCAGCCGCCGCAGUAACAC
rnacentral:rRNA from 1 species